GUCCACGCCGUAAACGAUGAGUGCUAGGUGCUGCGGGUAUUGACCCCUGCGGUGCCGUAGCUAACGCGUUAAGCACUCCGCCUGGGGAGUACGGCCGCAAGGCUAAAACUCAAAGGAAUUGACGGGGGCCCCGCACAAGCGGUGGAGCAUGUGGUUCAAUUCGACGCAACGCGCAGAACCUUACCUGGGUUAAAUCCACUCAAACCUGGCAGAGAUGCCGGGGUGCCUUUCGGGGAAUGAGUGAGAAGGUGCUGCAUGGCUGUCGU
rnacentral:rRNA from 1 species